AAUUAUUAUAAGCCAGGUGAAGAGUUCUUCACUAAGGACUGUGCGCUGCUGUGUAAGUGCAACCCCCCAUUUGUUACCUGUAAUGCUGCUGACUGCCCACCAAUGGAACAAUGUGGAGUACAGGAUGGCGUAAUUGGGUGUUACCCACAAGAAUCUCAAGACUGUAUUAUCUCUGGUGAUCCUCAUUAUAACACCUUUGAUGGCAAAUACUACACCUACAUGGGCACUUGCACCUACACUCUGGCCCU